AACGAACGCUGGCGGCAUGCCUAACACAUGCAAGUCGAACGAGACCUUCGGGUCUAGUGGCGCACGGGUGCGUAACGCGUGGGAACCUGCCCUUAGGUUCGGAAUAACUCCCCGAAAGGGGUGCUAAUACCGGAUAAUGUCUUCGGACCAAUGAUUUAUCGCCUUUGGCUGGGCCCGCGUUGGAUUAGCUAGUUGGUAGGGUAAAAGCCUACCAAGGCGACGAUCCAUAGCUGGUCUGAGAGGAUGAUCAGCCACCCUGGGACUGGGACACGGCCCAGACUCCUACGGGAGGCAGCAGUGGGGAAUAUUGGACAAUGGGCGAAAGCCUGAUCCAGCAAUGCCGCGUGAGUGAUGAAGGCCUUAGGGUUGUAAAGCUCUUUUACCCGGGAUGAUAAUGACAGUACCGGGAGAAUAAGCUCCGGCUACCUCCUU
rnacentral:rRNA from 1 species